AACGAACGCUGGCGGCAUGCCUAACACAUGCAAGUCGAACGAGACCUUCGGGUCUAGUGGCGCACGGGUGCGUAACGCGUGGGAACCUGCCCUUAGGUUCGGAAUAACUCCCCGAAAGGGGUGCUAAUACCGGAUAAUGUCUUCGGACCAAGGAUUUAUCGCCUUUGGAUGGGCCCGCGUUGGAUUAGCUAGUUGGUAGGGUAAAAGCCUACCAAGGCGACGAUCCAUAGCUGGUCUGAGAGGAUGAUCAGCCACACUGGGACUGAGACACGGCCCAGACUGCUACGGGAGGCAGCAGUGGGGAAUAUUGGACAAUGGGCGAGAGCCUGAUCCAGCAAUGCCGCGUGAGUGAUGAAGGCCUUAGGGUUGUAAAGCUCUUUUACCCGGGAUGAUAAUGACAGUACCGGGAGAAUAAGCUCCGGCUAACUCCGUG
rnacentral:rRNA from 1 species